AGUGAAGUACAUGAAGAACAGGUACCAAAAGAACUUGGCAGCUGUCCAUUCAAACCCAAUCAUAGCAUACACUAGCACACCAUAUAUUAAGGACUGAACAAAGAUAUAUGGAAGUUCUAUUGCAACCUGAAAAUUGAGAUUUUGAAGUGGUUGUUGGAUGUAGUGAAUUGCAAUGAACUUUACCUGUCCCAAGGCAUAUGGCAAAGGUGAGUACAUGUGAGCUGCCCUUUCCCUGUAAAAGACUGUCCGCUCAACUGAUACAACUGGCUGAACUGAACCUGAAUUCUGUACUCCCAUGAAAAUGACCGAGGCAUACAUGGAACCCAUGGCAUUGAACAAGUCCUGUUGAUUAUCCCUGCAAGAGUAGAAUAUCUCCAGUGAACUGCAAGUUUGUGAUAAAUGGGGACUAGAGGCAAGCAAAACACUGUGUGAUGAAGGUCUGCGAGUAUUCUGUUGGAAAGGAUAGAUCACUUGAACCUUCAGGAGGAUAGAAGAGAAGAUCCCUUUGCUUGAAGAAAACUGGGAGCUUUGCAAUAGUCAGGCCAACUUCUGCCAAUCCAUUGAACAUGAUCAUCAGGAUCCCAAAGAACAGAGCACCCAUGUAUAUCCUUCCAUCUGUUAUUGAGUCACGAUGCAUAUUGGUUCGGAGGAAGACGGUCAUUGCAAUGAUCGCCAUGAGUGUUAACUGAAGAAUAGUGCAGCAGGAUGGCUCGUGCUCUUGUCAAAUGGGACUGCCAAUUCAUUUCGUAUAGCCUCACCAAUGUGGAAAGAUUGAAAUGCUUCUGCAAACUCCUUCACAGGAACAUAUCGGUUGUAGCAAAGCAAUAACUGCUGUUCCGCCAACAAUAUGAAUGGUUUGCCGGAUAGAGUUCACAAUCUGAAAGGUUGUUGAGCUGUCGAGCCCCGUUGAUAUCUCAUCCAUGAAAAGGGCUCGUCCUGGAGUGACAAGCAUCUCAGCUGCAGGACCAAUUUCAGUUGUAGAUGAGUUAUAUCAUAAAGGAGUAAUAUGUAAGCGUCCCAUACUUAUUCCCAAGAGAAAUUGACUGUCUCACGGACCGUCAAUUCCCCCAUGUGCAGAUCAUGUUGGCUGACAUAUGCAGCUGAUCUCCGGGCCUCAAACUCGUCCAUUGUAUGCCCAUUAGUACAAUGCAAACUCGAAGCAAGUACCUUAAGACUUGAAGGAAGUGUUCCAGCCAAGGCUAAAAGCAGCGAUGUUUUCCCCGCACCAGGAGGACCCAAUAGCAAGGUCAUUCUGAAAUUAGCAGGGAUAAGACAAAAAUUU